AUAUGAGUUUACGUAUCUAACUUUAAUAUAUCUUCUAUGGUUGACAAUGAGCGCGUAUUUGUGCAUCUAGCAAUGUUUCUUUGUUUUACUCUAGCUGAGAGCACGUGGUAAGCAGAAUUCUUUUCGGGAAGAAUAUCAAGGAAAUCCGUCAGAAGAAAAUGUUAUUUAUUUGAUAAGAUUAGAAAAGAAUAAUCUAUUAUGAAAUAUUAAAACGGAAUGAAAUUAUUAUUCAGAGCUGUAUUAUGAAAAGCAAGAAAAAUUUAAAAAAUAUUAUCUAAGUUUUUUCAAUCGAAAAAAAUAGUGUAUGAUGCAAAAUCAUAUUGCAGUGCAGAUAAUUACAAAAAUCAUACAAAAAAAUUUUAUAGCUGAAAUGAUCAGAUUUUCAUUAUUUUUUAUAUUCCCCAGAUUUAAUAUCAUUUGAUUAUUAUUUAUUUCGAUCGUUAUAGAAUACAAAGAAAAGAAUUUAAUAAUACUAAAGUUAAAAUUUUCAUAUAAAACUUUUUUCAAUCAAAAAAAAAAAACUUAUUAAAAACACAAUUAUUUUUAAAAUAGAAUGCUGUCAUAAAUAACAAUAGGAAAUAUAUAUGCUCGUUAAUAUUUAUAUAAUCGUUUGAUUGCAAUUAUAUUUUGCUAGGAAAUAAAAAAAAAUGUUGGUUUAAUUAAAUUUAUUUAUAUUACAAUUCAAUACAUGUAUUAUUUAUAUAAAAUGUAUAAAGAAUGAAAGAAACUAUUUUUAAAAUAAUAUGUAAUAAUAAUUAUUGAUAAUUUCAAAAUAUUAUUUUUCCAAUAAAACUAAUAAUAAAAUUA